UGCAGUCGAGCGAAUGGAUUAAGAGCUUGCUCUUAUGAAGUUAGCGGCGGACGGGUGAGUAACACGUGGGUAACCUGCCCAUAAGACUGGGAUAACUCCGGGAAACCGGGGCUAAUACCGGAUAACAUUUUGAACNGCAUGGUUCGAAAUUGAAAGGCGGCUUCGGCUGUCACUUAUGGAUGGACCCGCGUCGCAUUAGCUAGUUGGUGAGGUAACGGCUCACCAAGGCAACGAUGCGUAGCCGACCUGAGAGGGUGAUCGGCCACACUGGGACUGAGACACGGCCCAGACUCCUACGGGAGGCAGCAGUAGGGAAUCUUCCGCAAUGGACGAAAGUCUGACGGAGCAACGCCGCGUGAGUGAUGAAGGCUUUCGGGUCGUAAAACUCUGUUGUUAGGGAAGAACAAGUGCUAGUUGAAUAAGCUGGCACCUUGACGGUACCUAACCAGAAAGCCACGGCUAACUACGUGCCAGCAGCCGCGGUAAUACGUAGGUGGCAAGCGUUAUCCGGAAUUAUUGGGCGUAAAGCGCGCGCAGGUGGUUUCUUAAGUCUGAUGUGAAAGCCCACGGCUCAACCGUGGAGGGUCAUUGGAAACUGGGAGACUUGAGUGCAGAAGAGGAAAGUGGAAUUCCAUGUGUAGCGGUGAAAUGCGUA
rnacentral:rRNA from 1 species